rnacentral:lncRNA from 1 species
CCUCAUCCCCGCCGGCAGCCCCGCCCUCCGCCCCGGGCCUGUCACUCGCGGCCGAGCGCGGCGGCCCAGCCGGCUCCGCGCCCCCCGCCCGGACGCCGGAGCCCGAGCCGCGCCGGAGCCGCACCGGCCGCGCCCGCCGAGCCCGGGGUGGGAUGCGCGCCGCGAGCGCGCGUGCCCGCCCGCAGUGCGCGCGCCCCGGCCCGAGCGAGCGCUCCCCGCGGCGGCGGCGGCGGCGACGGCGGCGACGGCGACGAGGCCCGCGCGCUCCCCCGGCCCCUGCCCCGGCUGCGCGGGCCCCCGCCGGGCCCAUGGGCGGCGCCGGUCCCCGUGCGCCCCGGACGCGAGCAGCGGCGAGGUGAGCGGGGGCGCCGAGCGGGGGCGCGGGGACACGCGGGGCGCGGGCGGGGAGCCGGUCCGGUGGGCGCAACGGCGGGAGCGCUGGGGCGGCUGCACCCGGCGGGCGCCCGGGAAGAGGCGGCGGCGGCGGCGGCGGCGGCGGGCCGGAGGGAAGAGGCCCGGUUCAGGGGGACGCGGCGGGCCGGCCCGGGAAGCCCUUCCCCCGCCUCCCACGGCGCCCAGCGGACCCCCGGCCCGGUCCGCGCUGCCCCCGCCAACCCCCGCUUCGCCGCCUUUCUCCUCGAAAUUCUUUCUUAUUUUGUGGGGGGAAGGGCAUGCAGUAAGCACCCCGGACCUGGGCCCUCUGCGCAGACCUGUACGGACCUCAGCCUGAGCCCCAGACUUCCCAGGCUGCCCCCCACCGCACCAGGGAGGCCCCAGAUCGGACGGUCGUUCCUGCCCCCGCAGGGUAGGGAUGCAGGCCCUGACCAAAGGAGCGGAGGGUUUGGGCCUGUGGGAGGCUUAGGAAAGGGCCCAUUCCGAGCUCGGUGGGGAGGAGCUGCAGACCCCUGUCCCCUGUGUGUUCAGGCCGCCACCGGUACCCCCACCUCAGGGUGCUCAGCUGGCCUCUGCAGAAUAAAGACCAUCCGCCAGCCUGCUGCAGAGGCAGCAGCGGGUGCUGGGGGAGGGGCUGGCACUGCCAGGCUGAGUGCAAGCAGCCUGCCUCAGCCUAUCUGCCCACCUUGGUGGGGAGGGGUACCCCAGUGUCUGGCCUUGAAGGGAGGGGGCCACAAUGGGCCCAGCUCCCAUCAGGUCACCGCGACUGGGAGAAUUUGCCUCCUGACUUCCCACUGCAAAAAUGGACUGGCUUCUGCAGGGGGGAGUUGGGGGCCUGGGUGCUUCAGUGAUUGCGGGGUGCAAGGGGCAGUCCAUGCGGCAGAGGAGAGAAGUGGCAGGGUCUACGGUGAUGCCCAAAGUGUCAUGGUGCAGCCUGGGGUGGAGGUGGGGGUGCUGCAGAUCAGGGGAGCAGCAUUCUGCUGUGCCCCCUGCCCCUGGGAGUCUGAGCGGAGGUCUGUGGGUCCAGACACUGCCCUCUGCCUCCCUCAGACCUUCUUGCUGGGAGGGCAGCUCAGGAAAUGA